CUUAAAGCCAUACACGCACCAGUGCGAGGUGUGUGUUUGACACAUGCACCGAUGCUUCGGUAUUGUUUGAUCCGUCACUGUCGAGUCGAGGCGAGUCGCGCCGAGCCGAAUGAAAGACAUUAAAUGUGUGGUGGUGGGUGACUAUGAAGCAGGAAAGACCUGCCUGCUCAAUUCCUACACAACUGACAAGCUUCCCAUUGGAGAUUUCCCCACGCUGGUGCCAGCAGCAGCAGCAGCCUCCUGUGACUGUGAGGUCUGUUUUCUAGUUGUUACUGGUAAUAAUGUUCAUCAGCACCCUGACAGCUAACAUUGUCUCUCAGCUUUUCACCACUUCUUCAACACUGAAACUUAAGCGGCGUGAGCGCACAGGUGGGCGAAGGGACAGUGUAGUGCCAAAAAGUGAUCGCCUGCCAAAAACUGAUUUCCAAUGUUUCCGUGUGUUUUUUAUGUGUAAUAUCUUUACAUAUGUUGGUAAAUAGAGUUCGGUGAACAGAGUUUACAAAGGGGUUAUAUAUACAAUUUAAAAAUUACCUGUUUUUUAAGUAUCUUUAUCUGUGUUAUUGUACUUACAUUAUAACCAAUUCAGUCCUUUUUGUCCACUUAAAAUAUGUUUACAGAACUAAUAUUUGUUGCACUUUCUGCUGUCGUCUUGGCCAGAUUACUCUUACAAAAGACAUUUUUUUUAAAUAAAGGAUAUAUAACAAUCGCUGCCAAAAACUGAUCGUGGCUUCUACCUUGUUACAGGAAUGUUGUUUGUGG